UUUUUUUGCUAAGAAUGUAAAUAUUUUAUAGAAAUGAAAACAAUUUAGGUUUACAAUCGAUGAUUAUAAACCUACAGAAAUGGUUUCAUAACAAAAAAAGUAAAAACAUAAAAGCAUAAACCAUAACUAAAAUUCGGUUCAUCCACUCAACCAAAGCAGUGAGGCUAAUGGAGUUAGAUGAAGCGAUCCACAUAAACUACAUGAAAGUCCUUUUUAAUCAAUCUGCAACGCAACAGUCCUAAAUUUGGAGGCACUAUGUAACCUUGUUUCGUUUAAUUGAAGGUAAAUUUAAGGAAAAAA
rnacentral:sRNA from 1 species